GCCGUCGUAGGCCAUGGUGGUCGCCUCGCAUGAUUCGGACUGUGACACCAAAAUUCGUACAGAUGAAGCGGGGGUUCGAUUCCCCCCGAUGGCA